rnacentral:rRNA from 1 species
AGUGAACGCUGGUGGUAGGCCUAACACAUGCAAGUCGAACGGCGGCACAGUAAGAGCUUGCUCUUACGGGUGGCGAGUGGCGGACGGGUGAGGAAUACAUCGGAAUCUACUUUUUCGUGGGGGAUAACGUAGGGAAACUUACGCUAAUACCGCAUACGACCUACGGGUGAAAGCAGGGGAUCUUCGGACCUUGCGCGAUUGAAUGAGCCGAUGUCGGAUUAGCUAGUUGGCGGGGUAAAGGCCCACCAAGGCGACGAUCCGUAGCUGGUCUGGGAGGAUGAUCAGCCACACUGGAACUGAGACACGGUCCAGACUCCUACGGGAGGCAGCAGUGGGGAAUAUUGGACAAUGGGCGCAAGCCUGAUCCAGCCAUACCGCGUGGGUGAAGAAGGCCUUCGGGUUGUAAAGCCCUUUUGUUGGGAAAGAAAAGCAGCAGGUUAAUACCCCGCUGUUCUGACGGUACCCAAAGAAUAAGCACCGGCUAACUUCGUG